rnacentral:lncRNA from 1 species
ACUUACAAAGUUGUGUUAGGUUCAGGUGCACAGCAAAGCACAUCAGUAAUACAUACGCAUAUGUCCACUCCCUUUGUGAUUCUUUUCCCAUAUAGGUUAUUGUGCAGGCUUGAGUACAGCUCCCUGUGCCGUAUGCUAGGUCCCUGUUACUUACCUAUUUUAUAUAAAGUGGUGUUUAUAGGUCCAUCCCAACCCCCUAAUUCAUCCUUCCCCUCACCUUUCCCCUUGGGUAGCCACGACAUUGGCUUCCAAAUCUUUGAAUAGGACUCCUUUUGUUGGAGGAGUCAAUUUCCCUGAAAAUGACCCACAGGUUCCAUGUUAUCCAACUAUAAACCAUAAGGAGCCUCUUUGCAGGCAUGACCAAGCAUCCUUUAAAAUUUACAUGCAAAUGCAAAGGUCUCAGAUCCUCCAAACCAAACCAUCUUGAAAAUAAGGGCAAGGAAGCACUAAAAAAUGACAGGCAAUGUGCUUCCAAUAGCCGGACAAUGACCUUUCCUCCAAAGAAGGCUGCAAGCGGGAGUGUUAGGGCAGAAGGACAUACAGGUAGGGCAGAAGGAUGCAGCACCAAAGGUUUGAGCAACAGGCAGGAAAGAGCUGCCUGUUCUUCAGUUGGUGAAGCCGGCAGAUAGGCUUCACGAGGAGGAUGGAGAGUUUAACACAGAGAGACAACUGUGUGACCUUCCAGUGGCGACGGUGAGGUGAAAGCAGGGCUUGGGAGUCUGGAUUCAGGGCAGGGUAUAUCAUGCAGAGUCAAUACCAAAAAGUUAACAUUUCAACCUGAGACUAAGUUAGGUCAUCAAGAGAAUGGGUGUCGAUGAAAAAAACUCCAACGAUGACGCCGAGAAUGGAGAAGCCAUGAGGUCCUGCUGUACAGCAGGGAACUCUAUCCAGUCUCUUGGGACAGACCAUUAUAGAAGAUAAUAUAAAGAAAAGAGUGUGUGUGUGUGUGUGUGUGUGUGUGUGUGUGUGGUGUUGUGUGUGACUGCGUCACUUUGCUGUACAACAGAAAUUGCCAGGACACUGUAACUCAACUAUACUGGAAUGAACAUUUAUAAAAGGCUGAAAGAAAAAAGAAAAGAAACUGUCAAGGCAGGAACCUGGGGACACACUGUAACUUUUGGAAUGGAGACAGAAGAGGGAACAAACAGGAGAUGGAUAACAACUGACCACAGCAGCAAAAAGAAAAUCAGCACAGUAGGUGCUCUUGAAUAAAGAAGGAUUUUACUGAGGAGGAGGGAGGGCUCAAUUUGUGUCAGAGUGUGACUGGAUCACGGAAAAUGAGGAUUAUGGAUCACCCAUUAGAUUUAAUAAUAGGAGGCUCAUUGCAGUUAGUGAACCCAACUAGUAUCCAUGAGGAUGCAGGUUUGAUCCCUGGCCUCGCUCAGUGGGUUAAGGAUCCAGAGUUGCUGUGAGCUGUAGUGUAGGUCACAGACAUGGCUUGGAUCCCGCGUUGCUGUGGCUGUGGUGUAGGCCGGCAGUACAGCUCUGAUUGGACUCCUAGCUUGGGCACCUCCAUAUGCCAUGGGUAUGGCCCUAAAAGACAAAAA